UGUCAGUAGGCCCCACCUCCUAAAGCUUCCAUGGCUACCUAAUAGCGCUACUGGCUAGCAACCAAGCUUUUAGGCUAGGAGCCUGGAGUGAACAAUUAAGAUGCAAGCAGAUUAUAUAUUCACACAUACAUUUUAGCACUUGGAGAUUGCUGUGUGAUUAUAAUUUUCCUUCGAGUGACUGUGGAGAUUCUGGCUUCAUUACAAUUCAGUUGGUUUAAUGAGGUCAAACAUCAUUCGAGUUCCCGGGCAUUGAGGUGCACGCCUGUAAUCCCAGCACUCGGGAGGCUGAGGCAGGAGGAUAGUUGCAAGCUCAAGGCCAGCCUGUGCUAAAGAGUGAACUUAAGGCGAGCUUGAACUAAAUACUGAGAAAAAGACAAAACAAACAAACGAACAAGCAAACAAAAAACAACAGGAAAUCAGUUCAAAAUUGAAAACUGUGCUAUCCCUGUAGUGUACAAUAAGAACAUAAUACAUAACAUGGCUGUACAUGAAUCAAAACACUCAGCUGUCGUGAUGCCAAGAAGUGGAGUUUCUUUUAUUAACACCUUAAAUGACGUCCUCCAAA
rnacentral:lncRNA from 1 species